rnacentral:tRNA from 1 species
GCGGGCGUGGUGGAAUCGGUAGACACGACAGACUUAAAAUCUGUUUUCCGAAAGGAAGUGCCGGUUCAAGUCCGGCCGCCCGCACCA